UAUGUUGGGUCCUUAACCCACGGAGCCACAACGGGCAGUCUCCAUCCUGAAUUUUCAUUUGCUAAACCUGGCAGCCCCAGCCCUCCCACCAGGACCCGCAGCCAAUGACUGAGCAGCACGGAGUGCAAAGGCUGCCUGGCCUCAGGGGGGACAACUCAAUGCCAUCAUGCUCCAGAGCUCCCUGGGGCUCGGAGGGGGCUUGACUUGCACUGAAUCCGAAUCUGCCUCCACCACCGUCUUACCCCACUGCCCGCUGGCCUCACCUGAGCACCUUCCCUCACAAGCCAUAGGUGCCAGGAGCCUCCUUGCAGGCCUUCUGGGACCUUCCUUACAGCACCUAAGACAGCUGGUGCCAGACUGGCCUGAGCAAUCAGCUGGGGCUCUGGAGGUGGGUCGCUUACAGUGGGACAACAAGGGGAGCUUCUCUGGUGUCAGAAGGCGUCCUGGUUGCUCUUGGUCUGCGGCGGCAGCCUGUCCCUGAUUCCCACUUUGGGGCGGGGGGCAGGGUGCUGGUGGAAGGGGAGGCACUACCCGGGUGAUGUCUGGCAUCCGGGGUUCUGGGGGAAGUAUCUGCCCUGGGGACUGGGUAACCGAGUGGCUGUUGCUAAGUGUCACGAUGCUCUGAAAAGAGAAAACGCCAGGCUCGGAUCUCUUGAUUUAAAGCAAAAUGUGAGAGGAGGGUCUCCCGGGCAAUAUUUGUCUCCUGCAGCUGCAGCCUGAGGCUGACAGAGCUGGAGACCGGAGGCAGGGCUCAGUUGUCAGGGCAGCCACUCAAGUUUGGAGAGGGCAGGCCUGCCCAGUGAGGGAGAGUGCGUGCAGCGGUGUCUGGCCAACAGUUACCAACUGCCUCUCCGGGACGGCGGAGGCCUGGCUUGUAGGAUUUUCUCAUUUGGAUGGUGUCAAUCCUCCCUCCACGGUCAAUUUCAAGCUGUCAACACGGCAUCACGGAAGGAGAAGAUGAAACAAGGACACUCCCAAGAGACCUGAGCCAUCAGUCUACAUGGACCACAGAACUCAUCUGAGCUCACCAUAAGAUGACAGCACGCUGGUGGAACACCCUGAGCAAGAAGGGGGAGGUACCGUGCUGAGGCGUGCCAGGAAAAGACUCGGGCCUGCCCCAUCGGUGAAGCUCCCAGGGGCCCAGGGGUCUGGGACUCACCAGGACAAUAGCUUUAAAGUGAGUAACAAAUGACUGUGCCUUGUUUCUCUUGUCACUAAGCAAGGUGCACGGUGCUUGACAGGCCUCUUCAGAUGUUGGAAGCAGCAUAGUCUGCACUUGGCGAUACUGUUCCAGCUGAUUUAUUGGAUGAAACAGAAGGCCAGCAGUGUAAGUGGAGCCAGAGAAAGGACUCUGCAGCUCGUCGGCCACAAUCAGCCCCGAUUCUAAGGCCACGUGACCUGGCAGCCCUGAGACCCGAGGUGUGACACUAUGCGGAGUGUGAUAAACCCCAAGAGGACCAGACCCGGACAGGCAACAGAGAGGGAUGCUCCGUUCACUUGCCCAAAACCAUAGGCUCCCUCGUGCCAAGGCUGACCUGGCUUUUGCUCCUGUCGAACGUAUGACUGGCCGGUGUCAGAGACCCACCCUCCACCCCGGCGUGACACUGUUCUCCCAGGAGACCAACCACUGCUACUUGGGUGACAAGUUGAUGGUACCAGACCCUUUCCACCCUGGAAGGGGCACCAAGCCACCUGAUGUGCCAGGCAUGCAUUUGCCUUCCCCACCUUCAUGGUCUUAGCGAGGCCCUCAGAGGAACCGUGGACUGUCUAACCCACUGGGCGGAGAGCCCACACCACAUUAUUGCAGAGGAAGCACCCACUUCCUGGCAAAGGAGGCUCAGCAGUUGGCACACAAUCCCGGGAUCCUAGAUGCUGCCAGCCUGACAGGGCAGUACAACAGCCUCCUGAAGGCACAGCUGCACUCUCAGCUUGAAGGUGCCUCCUGCAGAAGAGGCCACUGACCCCUCCAGGGUGCAAGGUCCACUCUAACGGCUCCUGGAUGAUGCCGUGUCCCAGAGGGUAAAAUACCCGCGGCUGGGCCCCAAGGACGCUUCAUCGCUCCCCACGCCCCUGCUGGGAAUCUGUUCUUCCUGUACUCACAGCCUUGGGUUUGGUGGGCCGAGAGGUCCUGGCUCUCAGAGGCGCGAUGCUUUCACCAGAGAUACAGGAAGAAUCCCACGAAAUUUAAAGCAACGAUUGCCACCCAGUCACCCAUGCUCACUGUGCCAGGAGCCAGGCAGGCAGAGACAGGCAUGACCAGACCUGCACAAGGAGCCCAGCGUGACCAGAAGGAGCAGCUGUGGUUCAUUGCAGUAAACAUCCAAUCCAAGUAAGUUCCCCCAGAAUCCUGGAGAAGCUGUGCCCGGAGGGAGUGAGCUUAACUUGAGAGGUAAGUAGAUCUACGCCAUGCAAGGCGUGGACCAUAGUGCAUGCUAUUGGUGCCCCCAAACGCCGGGCUGGCACCCUAGCCGCCAGCCGCUCUGAGUGGUGGCUGCUACCACUCACAGCCGCAUCCGUCUCCAGAGAGUUUCCUGGAAACGCUUGGGAGAUGAUCCCACCCUGUAGCCCUGAGCCAAGGACUCCAUCACCGCGGUGCGAAAGGCUGGCCCGUGGCCUCGAGAGUGGGCAACUCUGAGAGCUCUCUGUGGAAUCGGGCUGAAGCUCCACUUAAGCUGGAUCCCCUCCUUGCCUGGCUUCCCGCCCUCUCCUAGUCUGUUCCCCACAUUUCCUUGCAGCUUUGCUGAGAGCCUCACUCCCUAAGCCACUUCCCCAAGAACCCCGAUCUCAGGCUCUGUGUCUCGGAAACCUCCUUCAAAGAGAGAGAGAUUAUUUUCCUCUUCAUGCAGCACCAGGCCUGGUGGCAGUGACACAUGACUUGUGGGGACAAUGACAUGGGACCCGCAGAGAUAGGAUACUCACACCCUCUCCCAGGACUCAGCUGCAACUUUUACAUGGAUUCCUUAUACUCAUUCUCCAUGUGAUUCUCCCAGUCCUUAGAGCGGAUACGCAGAGUGUUCAGAGGGCAGAAGACACCUGUGUGCCCAAGACACAGUCUUCACUAGACACCAGCCUCCCAGCCUCGUCCCCUGGGUCAGAGCCCAGGAGAGCAGAGGAUUCUAGAUCUCUGCACCAGCCCUUCCCCAACUCUUUACCAGAAGGGCAGAGAGCACUGGUUGUUUCCAGCAAAGAUCCCCCUGGCGGGGAAGGCGGGGCACGGAGGUCAAGGCCCAGGUCUUACCAGGAUUAGGACUAGACCAGGAGCCCAGAAGACCCAGGAGAACCAACAGAGCAGGAGACCAGGAGACCAGGGGAGAUCAGGAGACAGGAGGCCAGGAGACCUAGGCUGCAGGUCUGAGGGGUCCCGACCUGCGACCCCUCCCGGUGUUUCGUCUUCUUUCCUCUGGCACCCCGCAGCUCGUUCCCACACUGAGGGCUGGGGGACGAGGCUGUGGCAGGGAUUUCUGGGGAGGGCGCCGACAAUAGCCAAGGCCAAAGCGCUUCACUGGGUAAGUAAAGGACCCUGGGCCUCCUCCCCUGUCUUCCUCGGUGCAGGACGGGGCGGGGCGGGGGCGGGGAGCAGGUCUGUGGGGUCUGUUUUAUAAGAUUUUGCUGAAAAGCGUCAGAACUUGAUUCACGGGGGGGGGGCAUGACAUCGCAGACAUCCUUGUGAGAGGGGAGUGGGAGGCAGGAGGGUCAGAGACGACGUAAUGAUGGAAGCAGAGCUUGGAAGGACCGAACUGCCAGUUCUGAGGAUGGAAGAAGGGGCCGCGAGCCAAGGAAGGCCUGUGGCCUGCAGAGGCGCGAAAGGCCAAGAACACGGACUCCCCCCAAGAACCCGCAGAGGAACGGGCUCUGCCGACACGCUGCUCUGAGCCCUGUGCGACCCAUUUGAGGCUUCUGACCUCCAGGACUGUACAGUGAUGAACUCGUGUGGUUCUAAGGCACUACGUGUGGAAGUUUCUUACAGCAGCUGUAAGAAGGCUGCGGGGAGGGUCCGGCAUUUACAUCUCUACCUCAGCUACCGGGUGGAUAAAUGGAAAUCUGGAGUGUUGGGGUCCGCAGGCGUGCCCCCCCUCGCGGUUAGCAGUGCUGCAGGGCAGGGAGGGACCACCCCAGCACAGGCCUCCUGGGAGCUCCCAGCACCUUACAGAGGCCUCGAGCCUCGGACUCCCCCUGGAGGAGGCCUCCCCACAGCAGCAGGAGGUCACUGGCCCGGAGAGUGGCGAGAAUCGCGAGGCCCGGCAGCCAUGCAGGAGGGGACCAGGCUUCCUUCAACGCCCAAAGGUCUGGCUACAUCUCAGCUCUGCAGUCGCCCACCUGUGUGACCUCGGGCCUGACCUCUGUUGGCUCAUCAUCAGCAAACACAGAGAGGCACACCCCUCCCCACGGGGUGGUUUGAACACAAAUCAGCUAGACUAUGAAAGGUUCCAGAGCAGGGAUGGCCACCAGCACGCGCUGGACCACCGGCACUGUGUUGGCACAUGGACACCACUGUGCCCAGGGCUCUCAGGGAGAGGGUGGCAGCCACCCCUCAUCAGGGAGGUAGUCACAAGUCCUUGGGCUGUGGGGGCUGGGGGUUCUUGGGCGCCCUGCGCUCCUCUCCCCAACCCUGCCCCACCACACGCUUCCCUGCCUGAGGCUCUGGUGGCUUAGGAGCAUCUGCUGCCCUGCUGGUCCCACGGGAUGAGGGAGGUGGGCCUGCGACAGACACAGCAGGACCAAGGGAGGACCAGGACGUGGAGCUCCUCGUGGAUACCAGUGUGUUCAAGGGACAUCCCGCCUGCAGGUGAGCCUGUUGCUGGAGGGGGACAGGCCAGGGUUGGGGGACCAAGGCCCUGGUCCUCUAGGCACUCCUGCCUCCAUCGACGUGUGGGACUGAGCUUCUUCCCGUGUGCUCUGGGGAGGGGUCUGCUGAGACAAGGCUGCUCUGGAACCUUCUGGAGGAUGGGGAACCCUGGCCAGAUCCAGGAGCCGUGUGGACAGGAACCAGAGGGCACAUGUGACCCAAGUGACUUUGUUUUGUUUUGUUUUUUAACAAGUUACUUCCUUUUGGGGGAGGGGAAUGAGAACUUGAAAAAUCUACUCUGAGCAACUUUCGCAUACAUGAUACUCUAUGUGAAAUAAUAACUCUAUUCCAUGCUAUUAUUACCUAGAGCCCCCACCGUGCACAGUCCAUCCACAGGGCGUCCUUAGCCGAUAACCAGCCUGGGGCCUUUUGACGGCCUUCACCAGCUUGGCUCCCCUCCGCCUCCACAGCCACCACUUUGUUCUCUGUAUUUAUGCCCUAGUUUUUAGAUUCUACCUAUGAGUAAUUUGUUUCACUUAGCCUGACGCGGUCAAGGCCAAGUCGCGGAGCCUUAACUGAGUCCGCCUGUGGGUAAAGGGACGUCCCAGGACGCAGGGGGCGGGAAGGGGGUGUGUCACGGGGGCGGCUCCAGUUCUGCGUCCCAUCUCUCUGCUCGUGGGACUUGGUACUUGGACUCAGGUGGAAACGCAGCUGCUCAGGAAAGGUCGGUGCUCGGUUACGAGCGCGAGGACCCCGUCCUGCCCACACUCAGGGGCUCACACGCACACAGCAACCCGCCUCUGGGCUCCCGAACCGCUGUUUCAGAAGGACUGUCCUGGCGGAGCCCAGGCCUCCACCGCUCACGGAUGUGACUUCAGCAGCUCAGCUGGCUUCUCCGCCUGCAGAGCCCUCGUCGGUGAAAGAGGAGCAGGGCAGCCUCCGGAGAACCGUCCCUGAGAACAGCCCAGGGUUGAGGGCUCCUGGGAGCAAGAACCCAGGGCUGGGGCCCUUCCUUCAAGCAGCAGGUCAGAGUCCUGCUUGGGUCCAGCACCUGGGACGGGCCUCGAGCCCCCUGGCGAGGACACACAGGAAGGCAGCCAGCUGCAACCCAGGAAGGAAGCUCUCACCAGAACCUGACUGUGCCGGCCCCUGAUCCCGGACUCCCAGUCUCCAGAAUCGAGAGGAGGCAACACCUGUUGGUCGUUACCUGGUCCACAGUACGUUGCUAUGGCAGCUGGGCAGACCAACGCACCUGGAGGGUCACCUUCCCAGCUUUCUUCCUGAGACAUGCUCCCCAAACCUGGGCUAACUGUGUGGGCUGUGGAGUCCCCAUCCCUCCCGUGCACGAGCAGAAGGGCCCAGAUGAGGGAGGGAGAAGUACAGACCAGGAACUUCCAAGGGGGCUCCUAGCGCCCAAUGUCAGGCCACCCAAGAAGUGCUGGCCAUCAAGAGAUAGAGCUCCAUAGCAACCUAAAUGUCCAACGCCAGAUGAGUGGAUAAAGAAGAUGUGGUACAUAUAUAUACAAUGGAAUAUUA